AGGGAUGUGGCUCAGUGGUAAAGUGUCUGCCUGCUACACAGAAGGCCCGGCUUUGAUUCCCAGCACCACAA
rnacentral:tRNA from 1 species